CACGCUUGUGUACACACAGAGCUCAAAUCUGUUCCAUCAUCCCAUGUGUUGGUUCCUACAAUACAUAAAACAAAAAAAACAUGUAUGCUCAUCAUUCAUUAUCGUAAGCUUUGCAGCAACAUAUGCUGGACAUGCCAACCAAAAGACAAACCCAGACCAAAGCCGGUUCGAAAUGACAAAUGAAUUAAGACUGGAAACUGGAAAAAUCAUAAUCACUAUGAGUGUACAAUGGCUGUCAUAAGGUGCUCCGUGCUCACAUAUGGAACCAAGUGUAAUAUAAACCAUUUACAUUUUUUUUCCUACAUAUAUCUAUCUGAGAGUAAACAGUACUUGACAAUAAAUGAAGAACACACAUAAUGUAACUCCCAGCAAAAUCCUUGAGCAGCUUGUUUAUUAAGGGUUUUUUUUCCCACGUACACGCAGAUUGUAUAUUUUGAAUUUGUUAAAUUAAUAGUUGUUUUCUUGUUGUCAAUUCUGUGUUUAAAACUAUUUUUAAUUUAAUUAAAAAUUUUAAUAGCUAAUUUGGUUAUUUGUUGAAAUUUUGACCAUAUUUGUAAGGUAGAAUCAAAUUUAUGAGUAACUUACAUAGUAUAAUUAUGUGUUGGUUAUCUAUCUAUAUAAUUAAAAGUGAAGUACCUUUUAGUAGUGUUUGGAAGCAGAAAUAACAAUUUAAAUGAUAAUUGUUGGGAAACAUGAUUAACAAUAUUUUUAGUACUUUCUUUUAUUUACAGAUUUAGCCAUUGCAUUUACAAUAAAUUAAGUACUUUCUUUUUGUAUUUAUUUUUAUUUACAGAUUAUGCCAUUUCAUUUAAAAUUAAUUUAAAUUAAUUAAUUACAAUUCUAAAUUUUAUCUAACGAAAUCAAUAUUCAUAUACUGACCAUUAUUAUAUUGUAUGAAUAUUAACUAAAUCGCAUGUGUUAAAGGGAUAUAACCUUUUCAUGGGAUUAACUAAAUCACCAAAUUAUAGAACAUAAAAAAUAUCCAUGUAAUUUUUUUAUAAAACGAGUGAUUUAUGAGUUUACGUUGAAUACAAGUUAAAUCAAACACCAACGUGGAGGCACGAAUCAAGUUCUAGUUUUAUUUCUUUCUACCAUAUUUGGAAAACAGAAAGAAUUUUUCUGAACAAUUAUAUUAUUUAUGUUUGAAUUAAAAACUAACCUCGUAUCUUACCAAUGGCAUAGUAAAAGAGACCAUCAUGCAUAGACGAACAUCCUGUAUAGCAUAUUUAAUCCGGAAGGGCUGUGUUAAGAAACUAUUAACUUUAUCAUCUACCUUCCACACUCCAGGAUGAUUCGUUUGAGUUUGGAUUAAGAGCUGUGAUACAAAGGUAUGUUGAUACUUAUGCAAAAAGAAAGAAAGAAGGAAAGAAAGGAAGAAAGAAAGAAAGAAAGAUAGAUACUCUCCAAAUACAUAAACAUGAGGAAUAUUACAAAAGAUAAUAAUUCAAAAAAAGGGAUUGAGAGGAGUACCUUCAUACUGAACAACUCGUGAAGGAAUCCCAGAGGAGUUGUUGUUAUCAGUAUCCUCCCAUCUCGAGCGGAUUUUUACUUGAUACCAUCAAAGAGAGUAAUAGAAUCGAAAAUUUAUACACAUAAUAGAAAAAUUGCUCCAAUAUAUACACUCAAAGCACAUAAUGAUACCCUUGCU